GACGAACGCUGGCGGCGUGGAUUAGGCAUGCAAGUCGAACGGUAGGAAUCCUUCGGGGUUCUGAGAGUGGCGAACGGGUGAGUAACACGUAGGUGAUCUACCUUCAAGUGGGGGACAACCCAGGGAAACUUGGGCUAAUACCGAAUGAGAGUACUAUUUGUUUAGUAUUUAAAAGAUGGCAGUAAUGCUGUUGUUUGAGGAUGAGCUUGCGUCCCAUUAGCUAGUUGGUGAGGUAACGGCUCACCAAGGCGAUGAUAGGUAGGCGGCCUUAACGGGUGGUCGCCCACACUGGGAUUGAGAUACGGCCCAGACACCUACGGGAGGCAG
rnacentral:rRNA from 1 species